rnacentral:lncRNA from 1 species
CGACCCCCCCCCUCCCGUCCCCGGGGCCCGGGCAGCGGCUUCCCGCCGCGGGGCCCGCGAGCGCCGUCGCUGCUGGGGGCCGCCCGGCCGGCCGCCCGCCUGGGAUGAGAGGCCGCCCCCUCUGCCGGCCGCGGAAGGGGGAGCGCCCGGCGGCCGCAGGCGCCCGAGGCCGGAGGGCAGCGCGGGCCCCCGGCCCGGCCAUGGGGCGCAAGAAGAAGACGUUGCACGACUACGCGGCCGAGUUCAGCGACCUGGGCGUCAAGCGGCACCUAAUCGAGCACGGCGGCGCCGGGGAGAGCUCGGUGGUGGAGACCCUCUACUGCAAGUCCUGCGAGCUGCCCAUGCGGGUGCGGCGGGACCGCAUCCUGGAGCACCUCUCCUCCGGCCGCCACUACCGCAACCGCCGGCUGGUCAAGCAGCACGGCCUCCGCACGCCCAUCCUCAUAUCUGCAGGUUCAGACCUUGGUACCAGCCUUUCCAUGCAACUUGACACUCCUUCCCUGCUUUCUCAGCCUUCAUUUAUUCUCUCAACCAACCCCUGCAUCACCAGCACUGGCACCAGCUAUACCAUGGUACCAUCUCCACCUUCCUACCACAAGUCCUUGAUCCCUGUUCACCCCAGCGCCAUCACCUCCACAACCAGUGUCAUGUCUGCCAGAGAAGACCAAACACCCUCUACCUCUACCAGUCACCCUUCGGCAUUCGCUGCUCUCCAUAUGAGAAAUGCGCCUGUUCCCUCAAAACAGAGCACCCAAAGACUUGUUAUUUCUGAGGCAUCCAACAGCGUGGCUUCUGGAGGGUCAGUGGGACGGUACAGCAGUAGUGGGACUUCAGGAAGCAAUAUUGGUCUUGCCCUCUUCGGCGUGGGGCUUGGUAACAAAGCAUUGUUUCAAAGUUUGAUGGAAGAAAAUGGCUGCUGUUUGCUUUACAUUGUGGAGGAUCAGCUGCCAGAUGUGGAACGUGCCUUCAAUACAGAAUUCCUGGCCAACACUAGGGUGCUACGGCAGCAGGAUGCCGACAUAGUGCUCAAUGAUCAACGUGUCUCUGGAGCCAUUGUCUGUUCACCACCUGAAGCAGCCUCUGAAAUUGUGAUAGAUGCUUUACGAGCAGGUGGGAUUUUCUAUAAUGCUGCUGUACAUGAUAUUGAUAUUAUCAGUUUGUUGCUGGGAGAAAGUGCACCAGAUACAAUAUUUUCACUGGGACAUGCAUUCUGUGCAGAUAUGGCCUACUUGAAGGAUGCAGACACUGUAGCAGUCAGCAUGAAAUUUCCUAGUGGAGCAAUUGUUACUUUGGACGUCAGUCACCACUGUACUAAAAGCUGUGAUCAGAGACUAGAGGUUCAUGGUUCUCAAGGAACAUUACGGGUAGAUAAUCAGAAUCCCUUGGGAAUUACAGAACAUGGAACAUCUGUGUCCAUAUAUUCACAAACCCAGGCUGAUCGGUACAAAGAAGCAUACAGAGAACUCUUUAGACACUUUCUCAGAACCCUCAAAGGCAAAGAACCCCCUAUUAUCACCAAAGAGCAGUUUCUCUGGACGAUUCAGGUAGCUGCAGCUGCCGAGCAGUCUUGGAGGAAUGGAUCUGCUGUUGACUUACGCAACGAAGCAAUAGACGUGUCUCUAAUCAAGACUGAAAUCAUGUGA